CCGCACAGCACCUCUACACACCAUAGAAGAACCUCAUCGAAUGGGAGGAAAGGGCUGUAAAGCUCUACUUUCUCCAAUGAUCGGAUAGCUAUGAGGAUCUAUCCAAUUAGAUUACUACACUACUCAAAUUUUAAAUUAAUUAUUUAGAUCUAAUCUAAAUAAUUAAAAUUAGAUAAAAUUAGAUUAUAUGUAAAACAUUCAU
rnacentral:lncRNA from 1 species